rnacentral:rRNA from 1 species
CACAGAGAGCUUGCUCUCGGGUGACGAGCGGCGGACGGGUGAGUAAUGUCUGGGAAACUGCCUGAUGGAGGGGGAUAACUACUGGAAACGGUAGCUAAUACCGCAUAAGUCGCAAGACCAAAGUGGGGGACCUUCGGGCCUCAUGCCAUCAGAUGUGCCCAGAUGGGAUUAGCUAGUAGGUGGGGUAAGGCUCACCUAGGCGACGAUCCCUAGCUGGUCUGAGAGGAUGACCAGCCACACUGGAACUGAGACACGGUCCAGACUCCUACGGGAGGCAGCAGUGGGGAAUAUUGCACAAUGGGCGCAAGCCUGAUGCAGCCAUGCCGCGUGUGUGAAGAAGGCCUUCGGGUUGUAAAGYACUUUCAGCGRGGAGGAAGGCGWURAGGUUAAUAACCUUGCGAUUGACGUUACCGCAGAAGAAGCACCGGCUAACUCCGUGCCAGCAGCCGCGGUAAUACGGAGGGUGCAAGCGUUAAUCGGAAUUACUGGGCGUAAAGCGCACGCAGGCGGUCUGUCAAGUCGGAUGUGAAAUCCCCGGGCUCAACCUGGGAACUGCAUUCGAAACUGGCAGGCUAGAGUCUUGUAGAGGGGGGUAGAAUUCCAGGUGUAGCGGUGAAAUGCGUAGAGAUCUGGAGGAAUACCGGUGGCGAAGGCGGCCCCCUGGACAAAGACUGACGCUCAGGUGCGAAAGCGUGGGGAGCAAACAGGAUUAGAUACCCUGGUAGUCCACGCCGUAAACGAUGUCGAUUGGAGGUUGUGCCCUUGAGGCGUGGCUUCCGGAGCUAACCGUUAAAUCGACCGCCUGGGGAGUACGGCCGCAGGUUAAAACUCAAAUGAAUUGACGGGGGCCCGCACAAGCGGUGGAGCAUGUGGUUUAAUUCAUGCAACGCGAAGAACCUUACCURSUCUUGACAUCCACAGAACUU